rnacentral:rRNA from 1 species
GAUGAACGCUGGCGGCGUGCCUAAUACAUGCAAGUCGAGCGAACAGACGAGGAGCUUGCUCCUCUGACGUUAGCGGCGGACGGUUGAGUAACACUUGGCUAACCUACCUAUAAGACUGGGAUAACUUCGGGAAACCGAAGCUAAUACCGGAUAAUAUAUUGAACCGCAUGGUUCAAUAGUGAAAGACGGUUUUGCUGUCACUUAUAGAUUGAUCCGCGCCGCAUUAGCUAGUUGGUAAGGUAACGGCUUACCAAGGCGACGAUGCGUAGCCGACCUGAGAGGGUGAUCGGCCACACUGGAACUGAGACACGGUCCAGACUCCUACGGGAGGCAGCAGUAGGGAAUCUUCCGCAAUGGGCGAAAGCUUGACGGAGCAACGCCGCGUGAGUGAUGAAGGUCUUCGGAUCGUAAAACUCUGUUAUUAGGGAAGAACAAAUGUGUAAGUAACUAUGCACGUCUUGACGGUACCUAAUCAGAAAGCCACGGCUAACUACGUG